UACGUAGGGGGUAAGCGUUGUCCGGAAUUAUUGGGCGUAAAGAGCGUGUAGGCGGUCCGGUAAGUCAGCUGUGAAAGUCAAGGGCUCAACCCUUGAAUGCCGGUUGAUACUGUCGGGCUAGAGUCCGGAAGAGGCGAGUGGAAUUCCCGGUGUAGCGGUGAAAUGCGCAGAUAUCGGGAAGAACACCCAUGGCGAAGGCAGCUCUCUGGGACGGUACUGACGCUGAGACGCGAAAGCGUGGGGAGCGAACAGG
rnacentral:rRNA from 1 species